AGGGGUUAGAAUAUCUUCACAAAGGCUCAUGGGAAAAAUAAAGUAGGUAGUAUUUAAUUCCGAACAACAUUACAAGAUCUUCUUAAUAUUUCUGUAUUUUACACAGCCUCAGAUGAAGAUUAAACAUCAGUGCAUGUUUCUCUAAGAUGGAUAUGACAUGCAUUAAAACCUAAGUAGUGUCAGGAUCUGUGCUUUGUGUGUCUGUUGGUGCUCAGCACCUAGAUGGCGUGGAAUCUGGAGGAGAGGUGACAGGUGUUCGCUAUUCCCCUGAUUAUUCUGCAGAGGACUAUUUAAGGAGGAGGCUGCCAGCAACUCACUGCCAGAGUGUUGCCCUUAGUGGUACUAACUCAGCUACGUUACCUUUGCCUUUGACCUUGCCUUGUACACCAAGUAACUUUGUCUUUGUAUCCUGCAGGUUUCCUGAACCUGAUUUUGCCUUGCAUUGAAUCCUGCCUGGAUAAACCGUCUUCUGGAAGGAAGCAAUCCAGUUCCAUGAACAAAGACUCAAGUCUCUCAUGACUUCGUUAGAUCACGCCAGCUGGCAGCCUCCUGAUUCCUGCGUACCUCGGACCUCCAUCUGCGAACCCUGUCCACCCUCCUCCCUCCAUCGCACCUCAUGGAUUACAAACUCUCCUGGCUUACCAUAUCCACCAACUUCAGUCUCACCGGCAAACAACCACUUGGUUUCUCCACUCCCCCUCUGGCGGAUCCCUCCACCAUUCUUUUUUGCAUCCUGGUUCCAGUUCCCUGCAUUAUUCACCCAGUUGUAAAUAGACACUUUACCGAA